rnacentral:lncRNA from 1 species
UGGAUAUAAAAUUAAUUUGUUUUUCAGAUCACUUUAUUGGACGAGUAGUUGUUAUGCCUACAAAUUUCAGACGUUGCAUCUUGAAGACAGCGAUCACUUCAUGAUCAUUCUCACAGGAAAGUGAAGAGAAAAUGGCCAACAGGGAGUGUAUAUUGGGAAAAUUGAAACCUUUCAAAGCAACUGAUGAGUACUACAAUCUUCUGCCAGAGGACGAAGCAGCAACCCCCAAGUCAUUCACAAGAUUA